rnacentral:rRNA from 1 species
UACAGAGGGGGCAAGCGUUGUUCGGAAUUACUGGGCGUAAAGGGCGCGUAGGCGGCCUGUUAAGUCGGACGUGAAAUCCCUCGGCUCAACCGGGGAACUGCGUCUGAUACUGGCGGGCUUGAAUUCGGGAGAGGGAUGUGGAAUUCCAGGUGUAGCGGUGAAAUGCGUAGAUAUCUGGAGGAACACCGGUGGCGAAGGCGGCAUCCUGGACCGACAUUGACGCUGAGGCGCGAAAGCGUGGGGAGCAAACAGG